UUUCUUUUAAUGAAAGAUUUUAUUAAAUUUUACCAACAGAGAUUAAAUGCAAAUACGUGACUAUGUGGAUUUAUUUUAUAUUAACAUCAGACGAGUUCUAAGGAAAUGAUCUUACAUUUUAUUUUUUUUAUUUACUUUUUAAUUUGAAUUGGGCCUAAAUAGAAUUAUUAUACUAACUUAUCUAGUUUGGGUCUUACUUAUUUUUGAGUUAAGAUUAUGUGUAUUUUGUAAGCCCAUUUUGAUCCAUAAUUUUUUUUCAUUCAUGUCUGCCCACAUGCCUUAUUAAAUUUUGUAGAUUUUUGACUUUUGAUUUUGUAGAGAGAUUUAUGUGUUAUGGUUUUUGGCAGCAGCCAUUUGUCCUCAUUCAUCAAAAAUUCAUCCACGCAUCACUCCACAUUUUCACCACAUUGUGAACCAAUCACUUUACAUGCAUCUGCAACUCACCACAUUUUGAACCAAUCACUUUACAUGCAUUUUUCUCUCAUGAAAUAAAUUUGCCAAAACUCAAAUAUCAGAUCAUUCACAGAAAAUCCAAUUAUCAUCAGCUUUCUUUCCUCUCCAAAAAUUCAUUCAAAUCACAAGCAUCCCUUCAAGAAAAUACACAGUCUGUCCACUUGUUAGAAGGUUUUAGCACUGGUUUUACAAGAAGAUAAUUGUGCAAAUUUUAUCUACAGGCUUGUCCUAUCAAGGUUGAGCGGCAGGUGGUGUCGUGCGAGGCUGAGGGAGGAUGUUGCUGUAGUUUCGUAUAAUAAUUUCCGCUGCCAUAAUAUUCACUUACGUGGAUAUCUUUUGAGAAUGACUCUUUAAAUAUUCUUAACCUAAUUAUUAUGAACUCUUUUGACAAUCGCAUUACUAGCAAUUGAACCUCGCUUAUAUGUACGUCUAGUAUGAAGUGUUAUCUUGUUGUCUCAGACCUCCGAACUUUUGAUCCUGGUUGGGAAAAUUUCUAUCCUAAUUGUUGUACUUAUUAUCCUUCAA